UGAAAGUGGGUUUAUGCAACCCAGUGCAUUCUCUAUAGAGAACAGAAGGGGGCGUUGUAUUCCCUGGCGCUUGUGGUCAGAAGCCUUCUAAUGUAGGUGCUGGGAACCACACUGGAAAUGCUCCCUUAUGUUUUCUGUUUGCAUCAAUGGCUUAUUACAGUCCAGAGAUGUUGAACUGAUUGAAAAAUUACAACACUGACAAUAUAUCCCAAGGAAAUAUUGUUUAAAGCACGAUUUGUAUAAAAAUGUUUAUUCUUAAUAGCAACACAUAUUAAAGAGUUGAAAGCCAACAAUAAAGAAGUAGGUUUGAUAAAUUAAGGCCACGACUAGACUCUAAUUCUGCUUCAGGCAAUAGAAAAAGUUAAUUUACAAGUAUACUACAGUGCCACAAUACCAUAACAAGUACAUAUAAAAUCAGAUUAAGGAAAAAGAUAAUUUCCACAAGAUAAGGAAUCCUGUGGGGUUAUGUUAUUCGUGAAGGAGCCAGAGUGAGCCGCCCGUCGCAUUUGUACUUUAAGAGGCGUCCUGAUACUCACUUUGAUUCUCACAAGCACCCCGCACGCACGCAAGGUGUCAUUAACUUCGCUUUACAGGUGCUGAGGUCGCACCACGGUCAGGGAUGCCAGACCCUGGUGGAGCCAGGUGGCGAGCUGCCUCCCUGCCACCCCCUCGCUUGGCUCUUCCUGGUCCUCACUAGGUUGUCAAACGCCGGGCAACCGGGCUGCCGCGGCGCGGAGGCCUGGGCUGAGGCGAGUUGCGGAGGCGGCGGGAGGCCACAGAGGCCGGAAGUGCGGGCCGGAGCGCUCCGGGGCUGCGCCGAGAUGGCGAGAAUGCUGGCGGUCCGGGUGGUGGCAGGGCUGGCGGCGGCCGCGGUGGCCGCCCUGCUGUUGGAGCACUACGGCCUGGCUGGGCCGACUACGCCGCUGCCGAAGCCCAGAGGCUCCCAGAGGCCGCACCCCGCCCCGGGCUCGGAAGCCAACAACAUCUUCUGGGGGCUGCAGAUAUCCGACAUUCACCUGAGCAGAUUUCAAGAUCCAGGCAGAGCGCUGGCCUUAGAGAAGUUCUGUUCGGAAACUAUUGACAUCAUUCAACCGGCUCUUGUCCUGGCCACUGGAGACCUGACAGAUGCCAAAACAAAGGAACACUUGGGAUCCAGACAACAUGAAGUAGAAUGGCAAACUUACCAGAGAAUUCUGAAAAAGACAAGAGUCAUGGAAAAAACCAAGUGGCUGGAUAUCAAAGGAAAUCAUGAUGCAUAUAACAUCCCAAGUCUGGAGAGCAUCGCCAAUUAUUACAGGAAGUACUCUGCUGUGCGGAAGGACGGCGCUUUUCAUCACAUCCACAGCACUCCCUUUGGCAACUAUUCCUUCAUCUCUGUGGAUGCCACCCAAAGGCCAGGGCCUAAGAGACCCUAUAAUUUCUUUGGCAUUUUAGAUGAGAAACAGAUGGAGGAACUCGUAGAGUUUUCCAAGAAAAGCAGUCAGAGCAACCAGACGAUUUGGUUUGGCCACUUUACAACAUCAACUAUCAUGUCUCCAUCCCCAGGGAUCCGGACAGUAAUGGGUUCCGCUACAGCUUAUCUGUGUGGGCACCUCCAUACGCUUGGUGGGCUGAUGCCUGUUCUGCACACCCGUCACUUCACAGGCACGCUGGAACUUGAGGUGGGAGACUGGAAAGACAACAGAAGGUACCGGAUCUUUGCCUUUGAUCACGACCUCUUUAGCUUUGCAGAUGUAACCUUUGACAAGUGGCCUGUGGUUCUCAUCACCAAUCCCAAAUCCCUCCUCUAUAGCUGUGCUAAGCAUGAGCCGCUAGAAAGGCUCUUCCAUUCCACACACAUAAGGAUUCUGCUGGAAGAAGUAGGACUGCUCACCACAUAUUUUCUGCCCAAGAGGAUGCUCAUCUCACAUUUGAUCCUUUGGCAUCAUUUAUCCUCCUUACUGACCACUACAUUGUGGCCCGGGUCCUGUUUGUGUUGAUUGUGCUGAUCCAGCUCACCACACUGAUUACAUUCAGAUAUCUAGCAUACCCAGAGCUUAAAGAACCUCUGGGAUUUGCAAAUAUGACCACAUUUUCCCUUCAUAUCUUGAGCAAAAUAAACAUCUCCUACUAUUCUGUUUUGUUGUUGACCUUGUAUACAGUGCUGGGACCAUGGUUUGUUGGUGAGAUAAUUGAUGGCAAAUUGGGUUGCUGCUUUUCAUUUGGGAUAUUUGUUGAUGGACAUUUCCUGCAAGGUGGUCUAACAUUUAUAAAUGGAAUUAUACAGCUGGUGUUCUUUAACAUCCCCUUGAUGGCUUACGUAUGCUGGAGUUUGCUACAUCGCUGCUUUGGUCACAGCUUCAGGUCUCAUCUCCACCAGGGAAAAUACUGGAAGAUUAUACCUGUUUACCUACUUAUACUUCUACUGUACAUAUGGCAGGUUUAUUCUUGCUACUUUCUUCAUGUGACAUAUGGCUCCCUAGCCUUUACAUUCUCUCCAUUGAGGACCUGGUUGACAUUGCUGACACCUGUGCUCAUUUACCGUGUGUGGACAUUGAACUCCACUGAACUUGGAAUAUUCAUGGUGCAGUUAAAAAGUCAUCUGAGCUCCUGAAGUCCAUGGCUUACAGCUAGCAGCCUGGAAGAAGUCCAGCCUCCACAUUUGUGGCUCAGAUCUCUGCCCUGUGGCAGAUGGGAAAGCCAGUAUCAGUGGGUGAGCUUCAGGAAGCAGUCACUCCUUGGACAUCUGAAUGUUGGAAAUGUUUACUACUGAUUCUUGCUGUGUGGACUGCAGAAAAGUCUAACAAUUGAUUCUUCCUCAGGAGGCAAAGAGCCCUAAUCAAGAAGAUUGCCACAGUGGGGUCUCUGUGUCACUGUGUCCCUUGGUACUACUGUGUUUAUUAGGGUCAUCCUGUGAAAAGCAUCCAGCCCGAACUUGGAGUUCAGGAUGUCAUUUUCUGCCUAGGGAGCCUGUGGAAACUUGUCCUGGACCUUUACUGCUCCUGAGACUUGACUUCCCAGCCUGUUUCCCCACCGAUCAUGGGCUUUCUGCUUCCUUAGCCAAGGUUGUUUUCAACUAAUCAAAUAAAUGAAUGAAUGGUAGCCAUAAACAAUGGGUUGGAGAGAUCAGUGGUUAAGAGCAUGUACUUUACCUCCAGAAGACCCGAGUUCAAUCCCUAGCAACCAUGUCAGAUGCUCACAACUGCCUGUAACUCUAGCUCCAGGCCAGAGCCACUGUGGGCACCUACAUUCAUAUGUGCACAGACUUACAUGUGAUUAAAAAAUAAUAAAAGAUAAGUAUUAACAAAGAAA